ACUCAAAUGAAUAGACGGGGACCCGCACAAGCGGUGGAGCAUGUGGUUUAAUUCGACGCAACGCGAAGAACCUUACCAGGGCUUGACAUCCCGGGCCAGCCUGGGAAACCAGGUUUUCGGGCCUUCGGGCCCGACUCGGAGACAGGUGGUGCAUGGUUGUCGUCAGCUCGUGUCGUGAGAUGUUGGGUUAAGUCCCGCAACGAGCGCAACCCCUACUUUUAGUUGCCAGCAUUAAGAUGGGCACUCUAAAGGAACUGCCGGUGACAAACCGGAGGAAGGUGGGGAUGACGUCAAAUCAUCAUGCCCUUUAUGUCCUGGGCUACACACGUGCUACAAUGGUCGGUACAGAGGGCAGCGAAGGAGCGAUCUGGAGCGAAUCCCAAAAAGCCGGUCUCAGUUCGGAUUGCAGGCUGCAAUUCGCCUGCAUGAAGUCGGAAUCGCUAGUAAUCGCGAGUCAGCAUAUCGCGGUGAAUACGUUCCCGGGUCUUGCACACACCGCCCGU
rnacentral:rRNA from 1 species